GAUGAACGCUGGCGGCGUGCCUAAUACAUGCAAGUCGAGCGAACAGACGAGGAGCUUGCUCCUCUGACGUUAGCGGCGGACGGGUGAGUAACACGUGGAUAACCUACCUAUAAGACUGGGAUAACUUCGGGAAACCGGAGCUAAUACCGGAUAAUAUAUUGAACCACAUGGUUCAAUAGUGAAAGACGGCUUUGCUGUCACUUAUAGAUGGAUCUGCGCCGCAUUAGCUAGUUGGUAAGGUAACGGCUUAUCAAGGCAACGAUGCGUAGCCGACCUGAGAGGGUGAUCGGCCACACUAGAACUGGGACACGGUCCAGACUCCUACGGGAGGCAGCAGUAGGGAAUCUUCCGCAGUAGGCGAAAGCCUGGCGGAGCAACGCCGCGUGAGUGAUGAAGGUCUUCGGAUCGUAAAACUCUGUUAUUGGGGAAGAACAAAUGUGUAAGUAACUAUGCACGUCUUGACGGUACCUAAUCAGAAAGCCACGGCUAACUACGUG
rnacentral:rRNA from 1 species